AACCAGAAGGCGCAAUGAAAGUGAAGGCACGGUCGCCGUGCUGAGGUGAGAGCUGUCGCCUGGCAGCGCAUCAUCGACCGAUCCCAUCCGCUCCCUCGUGGUGCGGCGGGAUUCGAGUAAGAGUGCAUCUGUUGCGACCCGAAAGAUGGUGAACUAUGCCUGAAUAGGGUGAAGCCAGAGGAAACUCUGGUGGAGGCCCGUAGCGAUUCUGACGUGCAAAUCGAUCGUCAAAUUUGGGUAUAGGGGCGAAAGACUAAUCGAACCAUCUAGUAGCUGGUUCCCUCCGAAGUUUCCCUCAGGAUAGCUGUAGCCCGAAGCAGUUUUAUCAGGUAAAGCGAAUGAUUAGAGGUAUCGGGGAAGAAACUUCCUCGACCUAUUCUCAAACUUUAAAUAGGUAAGAAGUCCGACUUGCUCAAUUUGAAGCCGGACACAGAAUGCUGGGUUACUAGUGGGCCAUUUUUGGUAAGCAGAACUGGCGAUGCGGGAUGAACCGAACGCCGAGUUAAGGUGCCAAAGUCGACGCUCAUCAGAUCCCACAAA
rnacentral:rRNA from 1 species